GACCGGAGCCGACAUCUUCUUCUCCACCUGUUGCCGUCGAGCUGCAGCCAAGACCGUCAGGCGACUUCCGGGGUCCGCUUUUCAAAGUAAAAGUCUUUCUUCUUCGUGUUCUUAUGGCGGAUUACGACGCUGAUUGCAGACGCUGACAGAAACCGGAAAUGGAACCAGCGGCGCGCCACCAUAAAGUGUCCCCCUGUCGGUCGCUCAGUUGGUUGCGGUUCGGAACUUUACCACCAGAUGGCGCCAGAGAAGUACACGUAUUACACACUGGGGCUCUAAGUGGACGUCCUGGACCUGGUGAAUGAUCUGCCGCCGCUCAGCCUCCGAACAUCAAUUUACAGCAGUGACGGUGAAUCAGGGUUUGGCUCGUUAUUGUCAAGUAAAUGAAAAUAAAAUCAAAUCAUUAAAACUCGUAAACAUGUAAAAGGAAA